UACAUGGGGUGCAAACGUUGCUCGGAAUCAUUGGGCGUAAAGCGCGCGUAGGCGGUUACUUAAGUUGGAUGUGAAAGCCCUCGGCUCAACUGAGGAACUGCCUUUGAAACUGUCUGGCUUGAGGCCGGGAGAGGGUAGCGGAAUUCCCAGUGUAGCGGUGAAAUGCGUAGAUAUUGGGAGGAACACCAGUGGCGAAGGCGGCUACCUGGACCGGUUCUGACGCUGAGGCGCGAAAGCGUGGGUAGCAAACAGG
rnacentral:rRNA from 1 species